CAUUCUGUAUGAUUUAUAAGCUUAUGUACCUCAAUUUAGGUCCCCACUGUGACACAAGUCCCCAUGAGUCUAUGUGUAUUCAGGUUAAAGUCCCCACCAGUGAAGAAAAACAUGUAUACACACACUCACUCAUAAACACACACACCCCUGUUAUUUGUGCUGACUGGUUUUGUCUCCAUCAGCCGACAGCGCCGUCCAGCGGGACAGUAAACAGGUGCAGGUGGAUCUUCAGGAUCUUGGAUAUGAGACGAGCGGCCGCAGUGAGAAUGAAGCUGAGAGAGACGACGCCAGCAGCCCCGAGUUUGAUGAGUUGGAGACGUGCAUCUCUCUCUUGGAUUCGGGGAGCAGAUGCAGCGGUUGGCAUGGCAACAGCAAUGGUGUGCAGACAGACGACUCAUCCUCGCUGAAGUGUUUGGUGCAGGACCUGCGUGCGCAGCUCUCUCGCUGCCACAAAGUGAUCCGCAGCCUGCAGCUGCGAGUCCGCUCGCUCUCUACGACCUCCGACUAUGCCUCAAGCCUGGAGCGCACGCCACGCAAGGUCACGCGUCCUUGAUGUCAUUAUUAUUUAUCUGUUACUAACAUUGCAACCACCUCAUUUACAGACUCACAUCAGCUUGAUCAUAUUAUACUUUGAUAUGUUGCUCUAAAAUACUCGAUUGUGAUUGUCCAGUCAUUUUGUGAUCAAUAAUCUGCAACAACACCAAACUGUAUAGUGGAUUGUUGAAUUCCUACACAGCUGUGCUGAUGCCAUGUCUCUUAAAUCCCUCCGCACUCUUACUUUGGUCUCUCCCUCAGAUUAUUAGUUCACGUUCAUUCAUGUAUUCAUUUGAUAAAAAGCCUCAGGGAUGGUCUUGUGAAGAUGAACUCUGUGAACCCAUCAGGUGAACUGGGCGCUUCAGGUGAGUGCGGAUCACAGCGGUGUGGAUGAGGACGAGGGCUGGCAGUCCGACGGGCCGCUGAGACGCAGCCGCGAGCUGCAGGAGCUGGUGACCCGCGUGGCGCUGCUGGAGACCCAGAUCAAGAGCUCCAAGCUGGAGGGGAAGAGCGGUGCGGAGGACGGGAAAUGCGCCACCUGGCCUGGGUGAGGUGCUUUCUGCUGUACAGAUUGAGUCAAAGCAGCUUCACAGAAAUAAACAGGAAAAUAACAAUCA
ensembl:lncRNA